GAUCGAAUAGUUCAGUGGUUAGAACGCGCCCUGCCCAUUGAACUUCUCACCCGUCUCGAUUUUGGAUACCCUCCGUGCCUGUAACGGGCUGAAUCGUUACCCAGAUGGUUGAGUUGUUCCGGGCGACCGGGUGAGACUGUGGUUCGAUUCCAUGUUUGAUCA
rnacentral:tRNA from 1 species